CGACGUUCAUUACCCGCCAGUUUCUCUGAGACUGUCAAAGAAAUAUGAAGUUUCUGCAAACUUUCAUGGUUUUGCUCAUCGCAGUAGUUCUCGCCGCUCAAGGUCAAAUAAGAGGCAUGGGUGGCCGUGGCGGAAUGAUUAGAGGAAAUUACAGGCGAGGCAUGAUGGGAAAAUAAAGACAGCACCUGUAUAUUUUCUCCAGAGAAAUCUCUUGACAUCUCUCGAAAUGAUUAAAUAAAUUACAUUAUUCAAAUGAUCUGGACUUGGAAACGAUAAUAUAAAUAAAUAAAGGAAUUUCAAUAUUGAAUAAAUAGUUGUGGAAAACGGGA